rnacentral:rRNA from 1 species
GACGAACGCUGGCGGCGUGCCUAAUACAUGCAAGUCGAACGCAGUGGGGACGGGUGAGUAACACGUGGGUAACCUCCCAUCAGAGGGGAUAACACUUGGAAACAGGUGCUAAACCGAUACUGAUGGAUGAACCCGCGGUGCAUUAGCGAGUUGGUGAGGAAACGGCUCACCAAGGCCACGAUGCAUAGCCGUCCUGGGGGGGUGAUCGGCGAAACGGGAAUGGGGAACGGGCCCAGAUCCUUAGGGGGGGCAGCAGGGGGGAAUCUGCGGCAAUGGACGAAAGUCUGACCGAGCAACGCCGGGUGAGGGAAGAAGGUUUUGGGAUGGUAAAUCUCUGUUGUUAGAGAAGCGUUAUCUAACCAGAAAGCCACGGCUAACUACGUGCCAGCAGCGGGGGUAAUU